UACAAAAAGUAUUAUAUAGAAACAAAUUCACUCAAACAUAACCAAAUGUGCGUGGAAACAAAUGCCGAUAUAAAGUUUAACAAUCUCGCCAAGUGAUAAGAAGACAAAGCGCAAAAAUUCGGCAAGGAGGUUAAUUUUUCUUCUUUCCGCUUGAUUCAAUUCUCAAGUUGUCUCGUGAAUUCGAGUUCUUGGAAAUUACCCAUCCGUUACCGAAGAGUUGCUUGAAUAUAGGAUGUCGCGCAUUUGGAUCUCACCAAUCAGAGGCAUGUCUUACUCGAAGUCGACAUUUACAGUUUUACAAUUCUUCGGAGAACCUGUGGUAGAGAACAUAGGCUCUCAAAGUGCUCCAUGUGGAGACCAAGGUAUCGAUGAGCGAAACCCAGAGAGAUAUUCGUUCACUAAUUAAAAUACUGACUUGGAUGUCCA